GGUGGGUAAGACCCCACGACCGUGCCUUCGAUAGGCUCCGGCCCCGGCGCCGAGGACUCGGUCGAGGGGUCGAACCCGCC
rnacentral:miRNA from 1 species